UACGGAGGGUGCAAGCGUUGUCCGGAAUCACUGGGCGUAAAGGGCGCGUAGGCGGCUCAUGAAGGCUGUGGUGAAAGUCCGGGGCUCAACCUCGGAUCGGCCGUGGCGACUCGUGGGCUGGAGCACUGUAGAGGCAGAUGGAAUUCCGGGUGUAGCGGUGGAAUGCGUAGAGAUCCGGAAGAACACCGGUGGCGAAGGCGGUCUGCUGGGCAGUUGCUGACGCUGAUGCGCGACAGCGUGGGGAG
rnacentral:rRNA from 1 species